UUCAAACAGAUUAAUGCAGUUAGCACUAUUACAAUUUGUUGUACCAUAUUUUAACACAUCGUUAUGUUUAAGCUGUGGUUUUUAUUGGCUUGUAGUUUAAGUUUGGUGAUUUCCCAAGACAACAGUGUUGAAAUGAUUUGCAAAAGUUGUGGAGAUGCUGUAAAUGAGUAUUGUUGCAAAUACUACAAAAGCUGUUGUGAGUAUGUAAAUCCUUCUGGAUGUCCAACGCCAUCUAGUCCAGAGGCCCGAAAGAGUUGCCGUGGGUUUGCAGCGACCUGCCGGUCGAACGCAGAUUGCCCACGCUACAAGCAGUGUUGUGAUACCUUUAUCUGUGGCGCCAUUUGUAUGAAUAAACCAAACGCAUUUCCUGGAUACAGAUACUGAUAUAACAUAAAUAAAAUGUGAAAAUGAACUGAUAAACCAUGAAU